CGUUGCUGUCCAGACCACCGUAGCCUUCGACGAGUUACGCGACAGCGGCUGGAAGCCGGUGAGAACCCGGCACGGUCGCGCCACUGUAUCCGGGUCGGUUGCCCCGACCCGGGAGUCAGACCCGGCGCUGUCGCAACCGUUCCA
rnacentral:ncRNA from 2 species